AGAUUGAACGCUGGCGGCAGGCCUAACACAUGCAAGUCGAGCGGUAGAGAGGUGCUUGCAUCUCUUGAGAGCGGCGGACGGGUGAGUAAUGCCUAGGAAUCUGCCUAGUGGUGGGGGAUAACGUUCGGAAACGGACGCUAAUACCGCAUACGUCCUACGGGAGAAAGCGGGGGACCUUCGGGCCUCGCGCCAUUAGAUGAGCCUAGGUCGGAUUAGCUAGUUGGUGAGGUAAUGGCUCACCAAGGCGACGAUCCGUAACUGGUCUGAGAGGAUGAUCAGUCACACUGGAACUGAGACACGGUCCAGACUCCUACGGGAGCAGCAGGUGGGAAUAGUGGACAAGUGGGACAAAGCCAGAUCCAGUCCAGUCGCCG
rnacentral:rRNA from 1 species